UUAAGAUUUGGAAUAGGCAUAUAUAUAAGAUAUAAUAGGUUAAACCUCUUAACCCGGUUAUAGCAUUUUGGAUGGUGACUAGACCCAAGAGAUUAAGAAGAUUAAGUAUAUUAGGACUAGAAUAGUUCUAGAAUGGGUGACCUUUAAGAAGUAGGGGUGUCACAAUUAGUAUCAGAACCAAUCACUAGCUAAAAAAGUGAUAUAAGUAUCGGCUGAGC
rnacentral:lncRNA from 1 species